GACGAACGCUGGCGGCGUGCUUAACACAUGCAAGUCGAACGGAAAGGCCCUGCUUUUGUGGGGUGCUCGAGUGGCGAACGGGUGAGUAACACGUGAGUAACCUGCCCUUGACUUUGGAAUAACUUCAGGAAACUGGGGCUAAUACCGGAUAGGAGCUCCUGCUGCAUGGUGGGGGUUGGAAAGUUUCGGCGGUUGGGGAUGGACUCGCGGCUUAUCAGCUUGUUGGUGGGGUAGUGGCUUACCAAGGCUUUGACGGGUAGCCGGCCUGAGAGGGUGACCGGCCACAUUGGGACUGAGAUACGGCCCAGACUCCUACGGGAGGCAGCAGUGGGGAAUAUUGCACAAUGGGCGGAAGCCUGAUGCAGCAACGCCGCGUGCGGGAUGACGGCCUUCGGGUUGUAAACCGCUUUCGCCUGUGACGAAGCGUGAGUGACGGUAAUGGGUAAAGAAGCACCGGCUAACUACGUGCCAGCAGCCGCGGUGAUACGUAGGGUGCGAGCGUUGUCCGGAUUUAUUGGGCGUAAAGGGCUCGUAGGUGGUUGAUCGCGUCGGAAGUGUAAUCUUGGGGCUUAACCCUGAGCGUGCUUUCGAUACGGGUUGACUUGAGGAAGGUAGGGGAGAAUGGAAUUCCUGGUGGAGCGGUGGAAUGCGCAGAUAUCAGGAGGACCACCAGUGGCGAAGGCGGUUCUCUGGGGCUUUCCUGACGCUGAGGAGCGAAAGCGUGGGGAGCGAACAGGCUUAGAUACCCUGGUAGUCCACGCUGUAAACGGUGGGUACUAGGUGUGGGGUCCAUUCCACGGGUUCCGUGCCGUAGCUAACGCUUUAAGUACCCCGCCUGGGGAGUACGGCCGCAAGGCUAAAACUCAAAGGAAUUGACGGGGCCCCGCACAAGCGGCGGAGCAUGCGGAUUAAUUCGAUGCAACGCGUAGAACCUUACCUGGGUUUGACAUGGAUCGGGAGUGCUCAGAGAUGGGUGUGCCUCUUUUGGGGUCGGUUCACAGGUGGUGCAUGGCUGUCGUCAGCUCGUGUCGUGAGAUGUUGGGUUAAGUCCCGCAACGAGCGCAACCCUUGUUCACUGUUGCCAGCACGUUAUGGUGGGGACUCAGUGGAGACCGCCGGGGUCAACUCGGAGGAAGGUGGGGAUGACGUCAAGUCAUCAUGCCCCUUAUGUCCAGGGCUUCACGCAUGCUACAAUGGCUGGUACAGAGAGUGGCGAGCCUGUGAGGGUGAGCGAAUCUCGGAAAGCCGGUCUCAGUUCGGAUUGGGGUCUGCAACUCGACCUCAUGAAGUCGGAGUCGCUAGUAAUCGCAGAUCAGCAACGCUGCGGUGAAUAAGUUCCCGGGGCU
rnacentral:rRNA from 1 species